rnacentral:rRNA from 1 species
CCCUUAGAUGUCCUGGGCCGCACGCGCGCUACACUGAGCCCUUCAUCGAGUUUACAACCUUGGCCGGUAGGUCUGGGUAAUCUUCUCAAAGGGGCUCGUGCUGGGGAUAGAUUAUUGUAAUUUUUAAUCUUCAACAAGGAAUUCCUAGUAAACGCAAGUCAACAGCUUGCAUUGAUUACGUCCCUGCCCUUUGUACACACCGCCCGUCGCUACUACCGAUUGAAUGGCUUAGUGAGCCCGAGGGACUGUUGCACCUAGAGGGUUUUCUCUCCAGGAGCAGCCGGGAACUCGGUCAAACUUGAUCAUUUAGAGGAAGUAAAAGUCGUAACA